rnacentral:misc_RNA from 1 species
CACCAAUCAAGCCUGGCUUGGUAUUGGGCGACGGGGCCGUCACACGCCCCGCGCCCCAAAGACCCCGGCGGGACGGACCGGCUCUCGGCGUUGUGAAUCUAUCAACCCGCUGGCGAGACCGGGACGGCCGUGCCGUUAAACCUCUUCUAUUCA